rnacentral:rRNA from 1 species
UAUAGGAAUGAGUUAAAUGUAAAUACCUAAACGAGGAGCAACUGGUGGGCAAGUCUGGUGCCAGCAGCCGCGGUAAUUCCAGCACCAGUAGCGUAUGCUAAAGUUGUUGCAGUUAAAAAGCUCGUAGCUGAAGUUUGGGAUUGACGGGCAGGGUCCGCCGGGACGGUGAGUACCAGCCAUUCGUCUUUCCUUCCUUCCGGUUUUUGCUCGCGGGCGGGGCUUCAUUGCUUCGUCCGUGCUAGCUCCGGAUCUUUCACUGUGAAAAAAUUAGAGUGUUCAAAGCAGGCCUAAUUAUGCCUUGAAUAUUUCAGCAUGGGAUGAUGGAACAGGUCUUUGCGCCUGUUUUGUUGGUUUCUAGGAGGCGAAGAAAUGAUUAAUGGGAACAGUUAGGGGAAUUCGUAUUUAACAGUCAGAGGUGAAAUUCUUGGAUUUGUGAAAGACGAACUUCUGCGAAAGCAUUUUCCAGAGAUGCUUCCGUCAGUCAAGAACUAAAGUUGGGGGAUCGAAGAUGAUCAGAUACCGUCGUAGUCUCAACCAUAAACUAUGCCGACCAGGGAUUCGGGGCACGUUAAAACACAUUUAUUGGACGACUCCCCGAGCACCUUGCGAGAAAUCAUUGAGUCUUUGGGUUCUGGGGGGAGUAUGGUCGCAAGGCUGAAACUUAAAGAAAUUGACGGAAGGGCACACCAAGAGUGGAGCCUGCGGCUUAAUUUGACACAACGCGGGGAAUUUUACCAAGUCCGGACAGAAAAAGGAUUGACAGAUUAAAGCUCUUUCUUGAUUUUUUUGGGUGGUGGUGCAUGGCCGUUUGUAGUUGGUGGAGUGAUUUGUCUGCUUAAUUGCGUUAACGAACGAGACCUCAGCCUGCUAAAUAGUUAUGCGAACCUUCUGCUUGGGUGAAGGCGCGGCGGGCAGUUCCUGCUUUCGGGUGGGGGCACCCCCGCGCUGGAUCCUUGAUGCGUUCGUAGCAAUACUUCUUAGAGGGACAACUGGUUUUAAGCCAGUGGAAGUUUGAGGCAACAACAGGUCUGUGAUGCCCUUAGAUGUCUUGGGCGGCACGCGCGCUACAAUGGUCAGUUCAACGAGUAUUGCACCUGCUGCGGAAGCAGUGGGUAAUCUUUUCAAAGCUGAUCGUGUUGGGGAUAGAUCUUUGCAAUUUUGGAUCUUCAACGAGGAAUUCUUAGUAAGUGCAAUUCAUCAUAUUGCGUUGACUUCGUCCCUGCCCUUUGUACACACCGCCCGUCGCUCCAACCGACAGCAGGAUCCGGUGAAAUCUCGGGAUGGCGGAUCCUAUGGCAUGGGCAACUGUG